AGUUGCCGCAACUAGCGGCGCAUAGGAGGUCCCGCGAUUCCCCUCUUCCGCCUCUCCCACUCUGCCGCCUCCUCCCACUCUUCCAAUCUGAGCUCGCCGUCAGCCGCCGCCCGCCUGUCUCCGUGAUCCACUCCUCGCCGGCCACUUGCCGUCGCCGCAUCCAACCCUUCGCGUCUCUGUCCCUCCGUGCCUGGAUGCGCCCUUCCCAGCACUCUGCUGCCGUGCCCGCGCAGUCCACUGCCCCUAGCGGCCAGUCGCCCAGUCCGCGGAUCAAUGACCGGAAUUGUGAAGGUGUGACCACGUGAGGCGUGCACCCUGCCCUGCAACUACAGCAAUAGCCUGCAGCCACCAGCCAGCCCUCCGACCAUCCAACGACUGAACACAACACAUAGAAUUGUUCAAGAAUGCAGGGGAUACGAGACAUUGCUUCUCUUUUCCGGAAACAUGUUGCGGAGAAGGCUAUGCCUAACCCAAAUUUCGUUGAAGGGCAAACCAAACAACCUGCACAUAUUCUUAAAGAGAUGAUGGAGACAUGAGCUGCUUCAACUGAACUGCAAUGGUUAAUAAGCACGGAGCCGCACAGCUUUGGGUUCCCGUGAAAGCUAGACGUCUGAAAGGGAUUGCACCCGUGAGAUGGUUAUUAGACAAAUCUAGCCCCUGGAGGUUCGUGAGGCUGCAGAUUGAUUGUGGGAUCUCUCCAUAAAA